rnacentral:rRNA from 1 species
UGAGGAAUAUUGGUCAAUGGGCGCAAGCCUGAACCAGCCAUGCCGCGUGAAGGAAGACGGCCCUAAGGGUUGUAAACUUCUUUUGUACUUGGGUAAUAGCCUUUACGUGUAGAGGUAUGAAAGUAAAGUACGAAUAAGGAUCGGCUAACUCCGUGCCAGCAGCCGCGGUAAUACGGAGGAUCCAAGCGUUAUCCGGAUUUAUUGGGUUUAAAGGGUGCGUAGGCGGGAAUAUAAGUCAGUGGUGAAAGUCUGGCAGCUUAACUGUAGAAUUGCCAUUGAUACUGUAUUUCUUGAGUAUAAUUGAGGUAGGCGGAAUGUGUAGUGUAGCGGUGAAAUGCUUAGAUAUUACACAGAACACCAAUUGCGUAGGCAGCUUACUAAGUUAUAACUGACGCUGAGGCACGAAAGCGUGGGGAUCAAACA